rnacentral:misc_RNA from 1 species
CAACCCUCGAACCCCCCGGGUUUGGUGUUGGGGUCCUCUGCAGCCCAGGCGGCAGAGCCCCGAAAUUCAGUGGCGGGCCUCUCGGUAUCCCGAACGUAGUAGUAUUUCUGUUCGUUCAGGGCGUGCCGGCGGUGUCCAGCCGUUAAACCCACUAAAUUUUACAA